GAGGGUAUAGCUCAAGUGGUAGAGUGCAUGCUUGGCACGCACAAGGUCCUGGAUUCAAUUCCCAGUACCUCCU
rfam:Camelus ferus unplaced genomic scaffold scaffold1361, whole genome shotgun sequence.